CCAGCGCUGGGCAGGCAGGGAGGCAGGGAGCGGCGCUCGCGCGCCUCGGGCCCUAGAGGAGACAGCGCGGGGCUGGGCCGGGGCCGCAGGAACCAUGACGACCUCAGGAAAAGAGAAUUUCCGACUGAAGAGCUACAAGAACAAAUCCCUGAAUCCUGAUGAAAUGCGUCGCAGGCGAGAGGAAGAGGGUCUUCAGCUGCGUAAGCAAAAGAGAGAGGAGCAGUUAUUUAAACGCCGAAAUGUUGCGACAGCUGAAGAGGAAGCGGAGGAGGAAGUAAUGUCUGAUGGUGGCUUCCAUGAGGCUCAAAUGAACAACAUGGAAAUGACUUCUAGUGCUGUUAUCACCUCUGAUAUGAUCGAGAUGAUUUUCUCCAAUAGUCCAGAACAGCAGCUGUCAGCUACUCAGAAAUUCCGAAAGCUUCUUUCUAAAGAACCAAAUCCUCCAAUAGAUGAAGUCAUAAGCACACCAGGCGUGGUGGCAAGAUUUGUGGAGUUCCUCAAACGGAAAGAAAACUGCACAUUACAGUUUGAAGCUGCCUGGGUGCUGACAAAUAUUGCCUCGGGGAAUUCCCUUCAGACUCGAAUAGUGAUCCAAGCAGGAGCUGUUCCCAUCUUCAUAGAGCUGCUUAGUUCAGAGUUUGAAGAUGUACAGGAACAGGCAGUAUGGGCUCUUGGCAACAUUGCUGGAGACAGCACAAUGUGCAGAGACUAUGUACUGGACUGUAAUAUUUUGCCUCCCUUACUGCAAUUACUUUCAAAACAGAAUCGUAUCACUAUGACCCGAAAUGCUGUAUGGGCUCUAUCCAAUCUCUGCAGAGGGAAAAAUCCUCCUCCAGAUUUUGCCAAGGUUUCACCUUGUCUUAGUGUGCUCUCCUGGCUGCUCUUUGUCAAUGAUACAGAUGUAUUAGCUGAUGCCUGCUGGGCUUUGUCCUAUUUGUCUGAUGGCCCCAACGAUAAAAUCCAGGCUGUGAUUGAUGCAGGAGUCUGCAGAAGACUUGUGGAAUUGCUGAUGCAUAAUGACUAUAAAGUAGUAUCUCCUGCCUUACGAGCUGUUGGGAACAUUGUCACAGGAGAUGAUAUCCAGACCCAGGUCAUUCUAAAUUGUUCUGCCCUGCAGAGUUUACUGCAUUUGCUAAGCAGCCCUAAAGAAUCUAUCAAAAAGGAAGCCUGCUGGACAAUAUCUAAUAUAACAGCUGGAAACAGAGCCCAGAUCCAGACAGUCAUUGAUGCUCAUAUCUUUCCAGCUCUUAUAAAUAUUUUGCAAACGGCUGAGUUUCGAACAAGGAAGGAAGCAGCUUGGGCAAUCACAAAUGCAACAUCUGGGGGCUCUGCUGAACAGAUCAAAUAUUUAGUGGAAUUGGGAUGCAUCAAACCACUCUGUGACCUCCUUACCGUAAUGGACUCAAAGAUUGUGCAAGUGGCACUGAGUGGGCUGGAGAACAUCUUGAGGCUUGGAGAGCAGGAAUCCAAGCGCAGCGGCGCCGGCAUUAAUCCUUACUGCGCUCUUAUUGAGGAAGCAUACGGCCUCGACAAAAUUGAGUUCCUCCAGAGCCAUGAGAAUCAAGAGAUUUAUCAGAAGGCAUUUGAUCUGAUUGAGCACUACUUUGGAACAGAGGAUGAAGACAGUAGCAUUGCCCCACAGGUGGAUCUCAGCCAGCAACAGUACAUCUUCCAGCAGUGUGAGGCUCCCAUGGAAGGCUUCCAGCUCUGAGGUGCCUCUGUGCCGUGUGCUCCUCUACCUAGCCAAUCCUGUUGUCGAGCCACAAGCCACCUGUGGAGUGAUUCUCUCAGUGUUUUCCAUAACCCUGUUUGCGCUCAUUUGCUUGCCUUGUGCACAUUCUCUUACAUACGUCUGGAAAACUUUCGGCUCUCUGUGGCAGGAUGCCCCCUUCUUGGCAAGGGGUUGCCCGAAUCACACUUCUUCUCUAGAUUCUGAACCUCUCCACUGUCAUCUUCAUGAGGUUGAGGCACAUUUCUAUACUUUGAGAUAUUCCCUGCUCCUGUUACAGGAAAAGAAUCCCACCUCCACUAGCCCCCCGCACUCCUGGCAUCCAAAGUAAGGCUGCCUUUCUCAUGUAUUUACUGCAGUGUGUGCCUGCAGUUCCAGGGAGACUUUCAGACUUUCUGAGAACGUGGCUGAAUUCAUUUCCCAUACUUUUCUCUGGAUGCCUCCUCGGAUCGCUGUGAAUACUGAACACACGUGGCCCUACCCCUUCUCAACACUGAGCUCUCAAUGUGGACUGCAGACCACUGUGGAGAUCUGCGUACCUUCUCAGUCUUUCCAUCCACAAAAAGGAACCUGUGAAUAGGUCACUCCUACCACCUCCCCAGAAAUGACUUUUUGAAAUAGCUUUUAGAAUGGAGAAACUACUCUCAUUUUGCUUGCCAGCACAGUAUAAUCCGGCCAGGCCUACCUUAAAAUCCAGCCCUUCCUGACUUUGUGCUACAAAGUCUGGUCCUUGGUUGUAAAGUUAUGGCUGAAAAAUUUCUAUUGCCUCUUAACAUUUUUACACAGCUUGACUUGAACUGAGUUCUGAAAAAUUACCUUCUGAACACAAAAUCUUAAUUUGUAAAACUUAGCACAGGGAGUGUUAGAUCUCCUUUUCAUUUUCACAAGACAAGAGCUUCCUUUCCAACUUGCCUAAAAGAGUCCUACUGGUCAAGCCUCAUAUUUAAGAACUAAAAUGACUCUAUGCUCAAAGGAUAGUCAAUAUUAUACCCAGAUCCACCUGGCCCUUUCAUUUCAUUAUUUCUUCUGCUGUUUAUGGGACUUCAGGUGAACUGGCAUGGAAUGCUUGAUUCCUACAGGUGACAUCUGUAAGGCAUUGCUGACUGCAUGACAGCUGUCAUCCACAGCUGUAGACUGCCCUUCUGCUAGCAGCAUGUUCUUGGCUCCGCAAGAUGCUUGGAUCACAGACAUCUGAUGCAAAGGCCGGCCACUCCUCACUGAGUUCAGCUGACAUUGACACCAAGCUCUUCAAAAAGGGGGACAUGCCAUGUGAUUGUAAGUGGCAGUUCCAUUUCUGUAAAGGCAAUGGAUUCUCCAGGCUGUCUGCCUCCCUCAACCCCAGCAAUGGGCUAUGUUCUUUCAAGCCAUUUGGAACAUUUGCAACACACAUUUGUCCAGUGUAAACAUUUCAAAAAUGCCUCUGAUAUCUGCAGUGUCAUGUACCUGUGGUAAAUGUUAGUGGCAGAACUGUCUGCAAGAUCCUCCUUAUGACUCCUCUCAGUGACAAGCCACUGCAAAAGCAAAAAACAGUCCACUGUAUACAGAAUAAUACAAAUAUAUAAAAUGCUUGUCAAAGUGCUGAAAGAAGCUAGGCAAAGGCCUGAACACAUCAACUCUGCGUCAUCAUUAUUUAAAUACAAUCUUUGGUUCUGUCUGUGCUUCAGGAUGGAGACUGACCUGUGUGGCUGCUGCAGAAGCCACCUGCUGCCUCCCUAGCUAAGCCAGUUGGCCUCCCCCUUCCCUCUCCCAGUUAUUUUCUAGUGCUGCUUUGUGCUGAAGGAACAUUUAGUUUACUGCACUUGAUCUGUAAAUGAACUUUGAUUCUUUGUAAUCUUAGGGGGUUAAAUUUGGUGGUUAAUUUAAAAACAAAAACCCUCAAUGUUGCCUUUACAUCACAUAUAAAUAACUGUGUUUCUCUUUUCUUGAAGGGUGAUAGAAGCACUGAUUAGUAGCAAAAUCUUGUUUUAGCUUUUGGAUUUUUUUGUGCUGGAUUUUUUUACGUGUAAAUUUCCAAUAACAUGUCAUUUCUAUAAGAUUUGUUUAAAAUCAUUUACCUCUUAUUGGAUGGUAUAAAAAUGCUACAUAUUUUGUAAACAAA